AAGACAUCUAUAUACAUUUUUUAAUUAAAUUCUAUUAAAGUAUUUAAAUCAUAUCAUAUCUUAAAUUUAAAUAAAAAAAAAUCCAUUUCCCAUUUCUACCUCUGUAUCCGUUGAACGAAACCGAAAACUUGAUAGCAUAAAACCCGCUGAACUUCAUUCAACUGCAAAACGUUAAACCAAAGAAAAAACGAAGCAACUUUCGCACUU
rnacentral:lncRNA from 1 species